rnacentral:rRNA from 1 species
UAACACGUGAGCAACCUGCCCUAUACAACGGGAUAACACAGAGAAAUUUGUGCUAAUACGGUAUAAGACCACAGUAUCGCAUGAUACAGGGGUAAAAGAUUUAUCGGUAUAGGAUGGGCUCGCGACCCAUUAGCUAGUUGGUGAGGUAACGGCCCACCAAGGCAACGAUGGGUAGCCGACCUGAGAGGGUGAUCGGCCACACUGGGACUGAGACACGGCCCAGACUCCUACGGGAGGCAGCAGUGGGGAAUAUUGGGCAAUGGAGGCAACUCUUACCCAGCAAUGCCGCGUGAAUGAAGAAGGUCUUCGGAUUGUAAAGUUCUUUAAUUGGGGACGAAAAAAAUGACGGUACCCAAGGAAUAAGCCCCGGCUAACUACGUGCCAGCAGCCGCGGUAAUACGUAGGGGGCAAGCGUUGUUCGGAAUGACUGGGCGUAAAGGGUGUGUAGGCGGUGUAGCAAGUUAGAAGUGAAAUACCUAGAGCUUAACUCAGGUGCUGCUUCUAAAACUGCUAUACUUGAGUGCAGUAGAGGAAAGUGGAAUUCCUAGUGUAGCGGUGGAAUGCGUAGAUAUUAGGAGGAACAUCAGUGGCGAAGGCGACUUUCUGGACUGUAACUGACGCUGAGGCACGAAAGUGUGGGGAGCAAACAGGAUUAGAUACCCUGGUAGUCCACACUGUAAACGAUGGAUACUAGGUGU